ensembl:lncRNA
GGGGGGGAGUCCAGGCACCAAAAGAAAAGGACUAGCUGGUGAAACACUUCAGUUUUCACUGUGCUAUGUUUAAAAAUAUAUAUAUAUAUAUAUAUCUUCACCAUUUAUUUUUUUCUAUUAGGGGGUAGGCAUACUGGACAUGGCCUUCCAGGAUACAAUCAAAAGCACUUGAUCUAAGUAAGGUGACUCUUAGUCCUUACACAAUGCCAGAGACUGCUAAGGUUUUUUAUCAAUUAUGUCCUCCAUUUUUGAUAUUCCAGUCUAUAAGGAUGCCGACGUACUUGGUUUUGGAGGUUUUUAGUCUCGCGGCAUGCUUACUUUGCAUUUGCCUGUUGUUCUUUUGUGUGAUUUUGACAGCAUCUUUCCCAGGAGCUGUAUUCUCUUAUUAAAGUACCAUCUGUUUGAGAUGAACUUUGUGAUAUUUUUUGUUUCAACGUGUCUGCAAUCAAUCACUGUGGGUGCAUUAUUAUUAUUAUACUAUUGACCUUCAAUUGGAUGAUGGCCUCCUCCUUGCAUGACAACUGUGCUUACAUGCUGCUUCCUUUGUCACCUGAGUCUCCUCCUGUUUGCUCACGAGGAAGCCUCCUGCCACCCCUGUCACCUGACAGACCAACUCCUGCAGACUCUUAGAACUAAAUUCAGCAUCUGCUGCUUCCUCUGCUGGAGCUGGGUGUAGAAGGAAGGAGAGGAGCCCUCCUUCACUCUCUUGUUCUGUCUUUCUCACCUGAAACUCCUACAUCUGCUUCCCUGGCCUCUCCUUCAAAAAAUAGCCAAUUCAAGACUUCAAACCUGUUGAUAUAAAACAACAACAAUGCAUCUUUAGUUGCUACCAACUUUGUGGUUGUCUUCUUUUUGUACUACGCUGGUCAUCUGUUGCAGAUUGAGGGGGUGGAUUCAUGUAUUCUGCGUAACCCACUCUCUUCAGGUCCUCAAAGGACUUCUGCAGACUGAUGUCCCUCCGCCUGAUGUUUUUCAGCCACAUCUUCCUCCUGAGUCAUUACAAAAGUGUGAGCGUAUUAAUCUGAUUUUUUUAUUCAGCUGGAUGUUGGGCUAUGCUUAAAGUCUCCUGUUUUAUAGUUCAUUUAGUAGUGUAGUGGUUGCUAUAACAUCUGUGGUGAUAUAUUGUAGUUUGUAGAUAAUAGUUUAUGGUUAUGUCCUCUAUCUCUGUUAUUCACCCUGAUUGUUUUUUAAUAGUACUCUACAGUUCAUUUAAAUAGACCCAGAAUUUAUCCUAUGAAACAUCAGAAUAAAGACACAGACUUUAUCCUGUCCAUUGAAA